UACGGGGGGGGCAAGCGUUGUUCGGAAUUACUGGGCGUAAAGGGCUCGUAGGUGGCCAACUAAGUCAGACGUGAAAUCCCUCAGCUUAACUGGGGAACUGCGUCUGAUACUGGAUGGCUUGAGUUUGGGAGAGGGAUGCGGAAUUCCAGGUGUAGCGGUGAAAUGCGUAGAUAUCUGGAGGAACACCGGUGGCGAAGGCGGCAUCCUGGACCAACACUGACACUGAGGAGCGAAAGCCAGGGGAGCAAACGGA
rnacentral:rRNA from 1 species